CCGCGUGCGGGAUGAAGGCCUUCGGGUUGUAAACCGCUUUCAGUAGGGAAGAAGCGAAAGUGACGGUACCUACAAAAGAAGCACCGGCUAACUAUGUGCCAGCAGCCGCGGUAAUACAUAGGGUGCAAGCGUUGUCCGGAAUUAUUGGGCGUAAAGAGCUCGUAGGUCGUUUGUUACGUCGGAUGUGAAAAUCUGAGGCUCAACCUCAGGCCUGCAUUCGAUACGGGCAAACUAGAGUUUGGUAGGGGAGACUGGAAUUCCUGGUGU
rnacentral:rRNA from 1 species